GAUGAAGAACGUAGCGAAAUGCGAUAAGUAGUGUGAAUUGCAGAAUUCAGUGAAUCAUCGAAUCUUUGAACGCACAUUGCGCCCUUUGGUAUUCCUUAGGGCAUGCCUGUUCGAGCGUCAUUUAAACCUUCAAGCUAAGCUUGGUGUUGGGUGACUGUCCGCUUCACGGCGGACUCGCCUCAAAAUUAUUGGCGGCCGGUACAUUGGCUUCGAGCGCAGCAGAAACGCGAACUCGGGCCCGUCGUAUUGGCUCCAGAAGCUAUCUUCACAAUUUUGACCUCGGAUCAGGUAGGGAUACCCGCUGAACUUAAGCAUAUCAAUAAGCGGAGGA
rnacentral:misc_RNA from 1 species